AGAGAAUACCAAGGCGCUUGAGAGAACUCGGGUGAAGGAACUAGGCAAAAUGGUGCCGUAACUUCGGGAGAAGGCACGCUGAUAUGUAGGUGAAGCGACUUGCUCGUGGAGCUGAAAUCAGUCGAAGAUACCAGCUGGCUGCAACUGUUUAUUAAAAACACAGCACUGUGCAAACACGAAAGUGGACGUAUACGGUGUGACGCCUGCCCGGUGCCGGAAGGUUAAUUGAUGGGGUUAGCGGCAACGCGAAGCUCUUGAUCGAAGCCCCGGUAAACGGCGGCCGUAACUAUAACGGUCCUAAGGUAGCGAAAUUCCUUGUCGGGUAAGUUCCGACCUGCACGAAUGGCGUAAUGAUGGCCAGGCUGUCUCCACCCGAGACUCAGUGAAAUUGAACUCGCUGUGAAGAUGCAGUGUACCCGCGGCAAGACGGAAAGACCCCGUGAACCUUUACUAUAGCUUGACACUGAACAUUGAGCCUUGAUGUGUAGGAUAGGUGGGAGGCUUUGAAGUGUGGACGCCAGUCUGCAUGGAGCCGACCUUGAAAUACCACCCUUUAAUGUUUGAUGUUCUAACGUUGGCCCGUAAUCCGGGUUGCGGACAGUGUCUGGUGGGUAGUUUGACUGGGGCGGUCUCCUCCUAAAGAGUAACGGAGGAGCACGAAGGUUGGCUAAUCCUGGUCGGACAUCAGGAGGUUAGUGCAAUGGCAUAAGCCAGCUUGACUGCGAGCGUGACGGCGCGAGCAGGUGCGAAAGCAGGUCAUAGUGAUCCGGUGGUUCUGAAUGGAAGGGCCAUCGCUCAACGGAUAAAAGGUACUCCGGGGAUAACAGGCUGAUACCGCCCAAGAGUUCAUAUCGACGGCGGUGUUUGGCACCUCGAUGUCGGCUCAUCACAUCCUGGGGCUGAAGUAGGUCCCAAGGGUAUGGCUGUUCGCCAUUUAAAGUGGUACGCGAGCUGGGUUUAGAACGUCGUGAGACAGUUCGGUCCCUAUCUGCCGUGGGCGCUGGAGAACUGAGGGGGGCUGCUCCUAGUACGAGAGGACCGGAGUGGACGCAUCACUGGUGUUCGGGUUGUCAUGCCAAUGGCACUGCCCGGUAGCUAAAUGCGGAAGAGAUAAGUGCUGAAAGCAUCUAAGCACGAAACUUGCCCCGAGAUGAGUUCUCCCUGACUCCUUGAGAGUCCUGAAGGAACGUUGAAGACGACGACGUUGAUAGGCCGGGUGUGUAAGCGCAGCGAUGCGUUGAGCUAACCGGUACUAAUGAACCGUGAGGCUUAACCUU
rnacentral:rRNA from 1 species